ACGAACGCUGGCGGCAGGCCUAACACAUGCAAGUCGAGCGCCCAGCAAUGGGAGCGGCGCACGGGUGAGUAACACGUGGGAACGUGCCCUUUGGUUCGGAAUAACGCAGGGAAACUUGUGCUAAUACCGGAUAAGCCCUACGGGGAAGAUUAUCGCCAUUGGAGCGGCCCGCGUCUGAUUAGCUAGUUGGUGAGGUAACGGCCCACCAAGGCAACGAUCAGUAGCUGGUUUGAGAGAACGACCAGCCACACUGGGAC
rnacentral:rRNA from 1 species